UACGUAGGGGGCUAGCGUUGUCCGGAAUCAUUGGGCGUAAAGAGCGCGUAGGCGGCUAGAUAAGUCCGGUGUGAAAGUCACAGGCUCAACCUGUGAAUGCUGCUGGAAACUGUCUGGCUAGAGUCCGGAAGGGGCGAGUGGAAUUCCUGGUGUAGCGGUGAAAUGCGCAGAUAUCAGGAGGAACACCAAUGGCGAAGGCAGCUCGCUGGGACGGUACUGACGCUGAGGCGCGAAAGCGUGGGGAGCAAACAGG
rnacentral:rRNA from 1 species